rnacentral:ncRNA from 2 species
AACCGUUCAUCCUAAUUUAAGGACGCAGUUCGAGCUAUUCCAGGGAACGGGGGUAUAGC